AUGCAAGCUAAGCAACCUCGUAAGUCUCACACGACUGAGGAAAUAAGAAAUCUUGCACCACUAGAGCUCAUACAUUCAGAUCUAUGUGAAAUGAAUGGUGUGUUGACAAAAGGUGGAAAGAAAUAUUUCAUGACGUUAAUUGAUGACUCCACUAGAUGCUGUCAUGUGUAUCUUCUGAAAUCUAAGGAUGAGGCUUUGAACUUUUUCAAGAUCUACAAAGCUGAAGUGGAAAAUCAACUUGAUCGAAAAAUCAAGAGGCUUAGGUCCGACCGUGGUGGAGAGUAUUUUUCCAAUGAGUUUGAUGCUUUUUGUGCGGAACAUGGUAUAAUCCAUGAGAGGACGCCUCCCUACUCACCUCAGUCAAAUGGGGUGGCCGAAAAAAAGAACCGUACUCUAACUGAUUUGGUUAACGCCAUGUUAGACACAUCGGGUCUCUCCAAGGCAUGGUGGGGGGAGGCGAUAUUGACAUCAUGUCAUGUCCUGAACCGAGUCCCCACAAAGAACAAAGAGAUAACUCCAUUCGAGGAAUGGGAGAAGAAAAGGUUAAAACUCUCUUAUCUGCGAACAUGGGGUUGUUUGGCGAAAGUCAAUGCUCCAAUUUCAAAGAAGCGGAAGCUUGGACCAAAGACUGUGGAUUGUGUUUUCCUGGGAUAUGCUUUUCAUAGCAUUGGCUAUAGAUUCUUGGUUGUAAAAUCUGAGGUACCUGACAUGCAUGUCGGUACGAUCAUGGAGUCGAAUGAUGCGACUUUCUUUGAAGAUAUCUUUCCCAUGAAGGAUAUGGCUACCUCAUCUAAUCAGAAGAUGCCUAGUUCAUCGAAUCAGGAACCAGUUACAAUUACCGAACCCACAAUUUUGAUGGAACACUUUGAAAGUCCUGUGGAGGAGAACAAUGAAGUUCCUAUUAUGAGCAAGAGAUAG
rnacentral:rRNA from 1 species